GAUGAACGCUGGCGGCGUGCCUAAUACAUGCAAGUCGAGCGAACGGACGAGAAGUAUGCUUCUCAGAUGGUAGAGGCGGACGGGUGAGUAACACGUGGAUAACCUACCUAAAAGACUGGGAUAAUUUCGGGAAACAGGAGCUAAUACCGAAUAAUAUUUUGAACCGCAUGGGUCAAAAGUGGAAGACGGUCUUGCUGACACUGAAGGAUGGGUCGGAGAAGCAUUAGCUAGUUGGAAAGGUAAAGGCUUACCAAGGCAAUGAUGAAUAGCCGCCCUAAGAGGGAGAUCCGCAGCACGGCAGCGGGGACACGCAGCCGACUCCGGCGGGAGGCAGCGGUCGGGAGUUUUCGGCAAGGAGCGAUAGCCUAAUUUAGCAAAGCGGCGUAAGUCAUGACCGUCUACGGCUCGUGAAUCUAUGUUGUUAGGGAGGAUGUUAUGUUUUGGUAUCUGUGCACAUCUUGACGGUACCUCAUCAGAAAGCCACGGCUAACUACGUG
rnacentral:rRNA from 1 species